rfam:Escherichia coli TMN026 chromosome, complete genome.
AGUCAUAACUGCUAUUCUCCAGGAAUAGUGAUUGUGAUUAGCGAUGCGGGUGUGUUGGCGCACAUCCGCACCGCGCU